rnacentral:rRNA from 1 species
CAACUCUGAGUGGUGGGUCACUCGGCUCGG